rnacentral:rRNA from 1 species
CCCUUAGAUGCUCUGGGCCGCACGCGCGCUACACUGGUCGAUGCAACGAGUUUCUUUCCUUGGCCGACAGGCCUGGGCAAUCUUUGAACAUCGAUCGUGAUCGGGAUAGAUUCUUGUAAUUUUUGAUCUUAAACGAGGAAUUCCUAGUAAACGCAAGUCAUCAGCUUGCAUUGAUUACGUCCCUGCCCUUUGUACACACCGCCCGUCGCACCUACCGAUUGAAUGGUCCGGUGAAAUCUCCGGACUGGCGUGAGUCGGAGCAAUCUGGCGAACGCCGGAAAGUUGAUUAAACCUUACCAUUUAGAGGAAGGUGAAGUCGUAACA